UACGGAGGGGGCUAGCGUUGUUCGGAAUUACUGGGCGUAAAGCGCGCGUAGGCGGCUUUGUAAGUUAGAGGUGAAAGCCCGGAGCUCAACUCCGGAAUUGCCUUUAAGACUGCAUCGCUAGAAUCAUGGAGAGGUGAGUGGAAUUCCGAGUGUAGAGGUGAAAUUCGUAGAUAUUCGGAAGAACACCAGUGGCGAAGGCGGCUCACUGGCCCGUAACUGACGCUGAGGCACGAAAGCGUGGGGAGCAAACAGG
rnacentral:rRNA from 1 species